rnacentral:rRNA from 1 species
CGAGUCGAGGGGCGAGGCGCGGGAGAAGCUUGCUUUCCUGGCGGCGACCGGCGCACGGGUGCGUAACGAGGUGUGCAAUCUGUCCAUAGUCGGGGGAUAGCCCAGCCGAAAGCUGAAUUAACACUCCAUGUGAAUCGAAGCCGCAUGACUUUGAUUUGAAACGCAAGGACUAUGGGUGAGCACGCUUCUGAUUAGGUAGUUGGUGGGGUAACGGCCCACCAAGCCGACGAUCAGUAGGGGUUCUGAGAGGAAGGUCCCCCACAUUGGAACUGAGACACGGUCCAAACUCCUACGGGAGGCAGCAGUGAGGAAUAUUGGUCAAUGGGCGAGAGCCUGAACCAGCCAAGUCGCGUGAAAGGAUGAAGGUUCUAUGGAUUGUAAACUUCUUUUGUCCGAGGGUAAAAAAGGUCACGUGUGACUUCUUGCAAGUAUCGGACGAAUAAGCAUCGGCUAACUCCGUGCCAGCAGCAGC